GGAAAAGCCUGUGGUGGGGGAAGGGAGUGAAGGCGUGUGCCUCCUCAUGGAACACAGGGUCGGAGUCGGCUAGGAGGGAUAAGAGUACAAUAGAGGGUUGUGUGACACAGACAGGCUGCCAGCCCUCAGCAUGGACCCGGCACAUGGAAUCUGUGAUCUUAAAAGAGUCAAGUGACUACCUUUGGCAACCAAAAGAGACACUGCCUUUUAGAAGGCAUAUCAUCUGAAACUGGCUGAAAGAGCUGUCUUACUUAGGAAGAAAAAUCUCUCCUUUGGAAAGAGCUGGAACUUUUAGUAAAACUGAACAGUGAGGUGGCGGAAGGUGAGUUAAUGUAGUGCUGGGUAGGGAGGUCGUGUGGGCAGGUGUAAAGAGCAGAGCCAGAAGACGUGGGUUUCAAUUUUGCCUCCACAUACUAGCUGAGCAGUCUUGAGAUAAAUAUGCUGAGGCAUGUUUUCAAGGAGGGGAGAGAGAUUCCUUUUCCUCAGCCGGGCACAGAGCCAACCUGAAGUGUAGCACUGUGGUGACCUGGCGGGAUCUGCUCUCCAGUCACUCCCGAGGGCCCUUCUGGGGACAAGGAGACUUUUCUGUGCGGCCUGUUGAUUUGAGUAGGUAUAGCCUUUCUGCUAGCCACCAGACACAGCUCUAUAAGAAUUUACUCUCAACUAUCCCAUGAAUAAGAAAACACUUAGGGAGGCUUUUACCUAUCCAUGAAUAGUUACUUCUGUUCAACAGUCCUACAAAUGUUUUCGAAUGCCUGAAGUGUGCCAGACAUGUACUAGGCAACAGGGUUAGAAAAGUGUGGGAAGCUUGGUCCCUGGCCUGGAGAACUUUA
rnacentral:lncRNA from 1 species